GAUGAACGCUAGCUACAGGCUUAACACAUGCAAGUCGAGGGGCAGCAUUUCAGUUUGCUUGCAAACUGGAGAUGGCGACCGGCGCACGGGUGAGUAACACGUAUCCAACCUGCCGAUAACUCGGGGAUAGCCUUUCGAAAGAAAGAUUAAUACCCGAUGGUAUAAUCAGACCGCAUGGUCUUGUUAUUAAAGAAUUUCGGUUAUCGAUGGGGAUGCGUUCCAUUAGGCAGUUGGUGAGGUAACGGCUCACCAAACCUUCGAUGGAUAGGGGUUCUGAGAGGAAGGUCCCCCACAUUGGAACUGAGACACGGUCCAAACUCCUACGGGAGGCAGCAGUGAGGAAUAUUGGUCAAUGGGCGCAGGCCUGAACCAGCCAAGUAGCGUGAAGGAUGACUGCCCUAUGGGUUGUAAACUUCUUUUAUAUGGGAAUAAAGUUUUCCACGUGUGGAAUUUUGUAUGUACCAUAUGAAUAAGGAUCGGCUAACUCCGUGCCAGCAGCCGCGGUAAUACGGAGGAUCCGAGCGUUAUCCGGAUUUAUUGGGUUUAAAGGGAGCGUAGGUGGACAGUUAAGUCAGUUGUGAAAGUUUGCGGCUCAACCGUAAAAUUGCAGUUGAUACUGGCUGUCUUGAGUACAGUAGAGGUGGGCGGAAUUCGUGGUGUAGCGGUGAAAUGCUUAGAUAUCACGAAGAACUCCGAUUGCGAAGGCAGCUCACUGGACUGCAACUGACACUGAUGCUCGAAAGUGUGGGUAUCAAACAGGAUUAGAUACCCUGGUAGUCCACACAGUAAACGAUGAAUACUCGCUGUUUGCGAUAUACAGUAAGCGGCCAAGCGAAAGCAUUAAGUAUUCCACCUGGGGAGUACGCCGGCAACGGUGAAACUCAAAGGAAUUGACGGGGGCCCGCACAAGCGGAGGAACAUGUGGUUUAAUUCGAUGAUACGCGAGGAACCUUACCCGGGCUUAAAUUGCAUUUGAAUAUAUUGGAAACAGUAUAGCCGUAAGGCAAAUGUGAAGGUGCUGCAUGGUUGUCGUCAGCUCGUGCCGUGAGGUGUCGGCUUAAGUGCCAUAACGAGCGCAACCCUUAUCUUUAGUUACUAACAGGUCAUGCUGAGGACUCUAGAGAGACUGCCGUCGUAAGAUGUGAGGAAGGUGGGGAUGACGUCAAAUCAGCACGGCCCUUACGUCCGGGGCUACACACGUGUUACAAUGGGGGGUACAGAAGGCAGCUACCUGGUGACAGGAUGCUAAUCCCAAAAGCCUCUCUCAGUUCGGAUCGAAGUCUGCAACCCGACUUCGUGAAGCUGGAUUCGCUAGUAAUCGCGCAUCAGCCAUGGCGCGGUGAAUACGUUCCACGGGCCU
rnacentral:rRNA from 1 species